rnacentral:rRNA from 1 species
AGGAGUUUGAUCCUGGCUCAGAACGAACGCUGGCGGCAGGCUUAACACAUGCAAGUCGAACGCUCGUAGCAAUACGGGAGUGGCGACGGGUGAGUAACGCGUGGGAACGUGCCCUGAGGUACGGAAUAACUGAGGGAAACUUCAGCUAAUACCGUAUGAGCCCCGAGAGGGGGAAAGAUUUAUCGCCUUGGGAGCGGCCCGCGUCGGAUUAGCUAGUUGGUGGGGUAACGGCCUACCAAGGCUUCGAUCCGUAGCUGGUCUGAGAGGACGAUCAGCCACACUGGGACUGAGACACGGCCCAGACUCCUACGGGAGGCAGCAGUGGGGAAUCUUGCGCAAUGGGGGCAACCCUGACGCAGCCAUGCCGCGUGAACGAUGAAGGCCUUAGGGUUGUAAAGUUCUUUUACCCGUGACGAUGAUGACGGUAACGGGGGAAUAAGCUCCGGCUAACUUCGUG